CUUUGUCUUUUUCUUUUAUUUUCUUUUGAGCGAUUGUGCGAACAUAGCAUAGCACGCACUAUGCCUUCUGUGUUGUAGCUGCCUGGCCAGGGCGACUGGCGGAUAAGGUCUUGUGCGUGGCCUCGAGGCUUAAAAGUAGCAGUGGGGCUUUGUGAAGGACAAAAUGGCGAUGGCGGGCCGUGUAGGUCCCCCUUCCUAUGAUGAGGACCUUUUCACAGACCUGUACUGAGCUCCGUGAGGAUAAAUAACUCUGAGGAGAUGGGCCCUGCAAGCCUCUUGCUUAGCCGUCUGUUCAGAAAAUAGCGUUUUCGAAAUGCCCUGAGUUGACCUAAUGUCUUAUUGGGCUCCUGUCUGCAGGAUUUACGCGCACGUUGGAACCGAAGAGAGCUCUGUUGUUGCAAUGUUCAGCCCACAAGAGCUUACUGGUGAAGGAAUGGGACAAGACCCAUCUUUAUGCAAAGCCAGCGUUACAGUAAUGUUCCAGGUAGGUGUACAUGGUUUAUGCUCUUACAGAGGAGACCUUGUAGAUAACCACUCCAUGAUGAACACAAAAUGACAAGCAUAUGGCUGAACUUUCAAGUGAUGUCAUCUUACUACUGAGAAGUGAGAGAGAGGUCUUAAGGGGUCUUUGAAUGACUAUUUUUAGGUACAUAAAAUGCUUUCCUCUGUUGUCUACAGCAUCUCAUAAUCUAUCCUGGGGAAUUCAGCUGCCUCCCAGGGUGAAUACAGGUAAUUAUCCAAAUUGGUGUAUGUCAUCUUUGUAAAUGUUCAAGAAAACAAGUGGCCGGCGGAACAAUGUUUUUUGGCGCCUUCCAUCUUGUUCCUCUUGAAAUGAUUUUCUGGGGAGGGAGAUCGCAACCCGGUACUACAGUUCUUGUAAGGGUGUGCUGUUACCCUCAUCCAUAUAUCGAUCACGUUACUGUCAGAUGAUUUGAAUUGAUAAGCUGAUGUUCUGUGAGGUACAAAAGUUAAUAGCAUGUUAGAGUUCUGAUGGCAGUUGUUGUUUAUGAAUAAGCUUCAUUCCAUCCUAAUACCUUAAAAUAACUAAUUUGCUUUCCUUUCCAGGUAUUCCUGAUGACAGUCUGCCUCUAUCUUACAGUAAGUUGUUUUUCGAAUUCUAUGGGCCUAUUAUCUAAUAGAUAACUUAGCCAUUUUGAUAUUUGUUACCAAAGCCUGCUUAACCCAUAAAGUUUUCUGGUUCCUCUUGUUCUCUGUAGUGAUGUUUCUAGAUAGAUGCCCACUGAUAUAUGCCCCUUUUUUCUCAGAUAGAUGCCCACUGAUCUGCCCAGGGUCAGACGAAUGCUUGUCAGUUGUAGCUUUCCAGGAUUCUGCUCCAAUGAGGAGGAAACAUCCUGCCUUACCCCUGUUUUAGCCUGGGAACCAGUAAUUGUGAACUCACCAGGGUUAACAUGAAGAGGGCAUGAGAGCUUAUUCCAUAAGGAAUUGUCUGAGACAUUUGGUUACCUUUUCUUAGUUUGUCCAUUAGCAACCGUAACUAAAAUAGUUUUGGCUGUUUGGGAUAAUUAGCUAAUUGAAUGAUUUUUUGAUUCAGGAGCAGCUUGUUGCUAUAUACCAUUGAAAAGCCUUCAGAGCUGAGAGGUUAGUUGAUAUUUUUUGUUCCUUACAGCUUAUGCCACCAAGUAGGCAGUUUCUAUGAUGAAUCAAACUAGCUCACUAUGACCGACAGUGAAAAUACAUGAACACCUGAGAAACUGGAGAACGCAGGGAGUGGGGGGUAACCAUGUCUGAGGAAUCUUUCACCCACAGCUUUGUUUUUCUCUAGGUACUACUAACCAAUAACCUGCUUGGCUCAAAGGGCCAGCACCUUCUCUCUAAAGCCCAAGAGGAGUUUGAGGAAAACUAGGUGUCUGUGUUCACUCCAGGCUGAAGUUACAGGUGAGUAAACCUAAAUGUAAGGUGGACUAUGCUAAAAAUUCCCAAUGAAGAAACUUUCACAUGUCUUACUCUCUGUCCUAGUCCCAGAGCCUGUAAAGGUGAACCCACUGGGACUGGCUGGGGGAGAAGAGGAAGAUUUGUUCCAGAAGGAACUGUCUGAGGGAUGAUAAAGAUUUCUAUACAGAGAAAGGGAGUAAUCAUCACUUGUUGAAAACAUUGGUUUUAUUUUUUCCAGGUCUGAGCAAAUAAGGUGUAUAAAAAAUGGAAUCUGUCUUGGAGGACAUCAGAAGGUGAAUUUUCCAAGUUCUUGGACAACCUAGCUGUUGAAAAGCUUUCUGGGUUUGGGGGGUAUUUCAGAUGUACCUUAAAGUGUUAGCAGACACAGAUUAAGACACUGGGAGCCAAUGAAACAGCAGUUGAGGGUUUGCUGUGUAUCACAUUUCUGUAUUUUAUCACCCCCUUCCUGCAACAUUAUUUAUCUGGAAUCUACCUGCCCUUUUGUUUUUUAGAUACAAGGGCUUGGUUUUGUUACCCAGGCUGGUUUCAAGGCCAUAGCUUUAAGAGAUCCUCUCACCACAGAUUUCCAAAGUGCUGGGAUUGCAGGUGUGAUUCAUGGCACCCAGACUUUGCUGCCUUUCUUACAUGAUCCAGGCCCAGAACCCAAACUCAGGCACUGUAUAGAUGACCACUUUCGUAAACUACUGACCUAGCUUGUUGCCAAUUGUUGAUUGAACUUCCCAUAACUCCACUUCGUGUCUGUUCCUCUGUAUACAGCCACCUUCUGUUCCCGUCAUGAGCCUUUAGGUCUCCAUUUGCAUAUUGCAAAUACUAUGUUCCAUGUAGGUAGCUCAUUCAGGGCCUUGCUCUUCACUUCAAAAAAGGUUCCCUUGAGGACUGGCUGUCAAUUUGUGUUGCUGUGUUGGUUGUUGAUGAAAAUAAUAAAAUGA
rnacentral:lncRNA from 1 species